GGGCCGGUGGCGCAAUGGUAGCGCAUCCUUCUAGUAUAGGAAAGGUUCUAGGUUCGACUCCCCUAGCCAGUCCA